AUUGAACGCUGGCGGCAGGCCUAACACAUGCAAGUCGAGCGGACGAAGGGAGCUUGCUCCUGGAUUCAGCGGCGGACGGGUGAGUAAUGCCUAGGAAUCUGCCUGGUAGUGGGGGAUAACGUCCGGAAACGGGCGCUAAUAUCGCAUACGUCCUGAGGGAGAAAGUGGGGGAUCUUCGGACAUCACGCUAUCUGAUGAGCCUAGGUCGGAUUAGCUAGUUGGUGGGGUAAAGGCGUACCAAGGCGACGAUCCGUAACUGGUCUGAGAGGAUGAUCAGUCACACUGGAACUGAGACACGGUCCAGACUCCUACGGGAGGCAGCAGUGGGGAAUAUUGGACAAAGGGCGAAAGCCUGAUCCAGCCAUGCCGCGUGUGUGAAGAAGGUCUUCGGAUUGUAAAGCACUUUAAGUUGGGAGGAAGGGCAGUAAGUUAAUACCUUGCUGUUUUGACGUUACCAACAGAAUAAGCACCGGCUAACUUCGUG
rnacentral:rRNA from 1 species